AAUCAACGCUGGCGGCGUGCCUCAGACAUGCAAGUCGAACGAUUAAAGCUCUCUUCGGAGAGUGCAUAAAGUGGCGCACGGGUGAGUAACACGUAAGUAAUCUACCUUUGAGUGGGGAAUAACAGUCGGAAACGGCUGCUAAUACCGCAUAAUGCAGCGGCACCGCAAGGUGACAGUUGUUAAAGGAGCAAUCCGCUUAAAGAGGAGCUUGCGGCAGAUUAGCUAGUUGGUAGGGUAACGGCUUACCAAGGCUACGAUCUGUAACCGGUCUAAGAGGACGGUCGGUCACACUGACACUGAAUAACGGGUCAGACUCCUACGGGAGGCAGCAGUCGGGAAUUUUGGGCAAUGGGCGAAAGCCUGACCCAGCAACGCCGCGUGAAGGAUGAAGUAUUUCGGUAUGUAAACUUCGAAAGAAUAGGAAGAAUUAAUGACGGUACUAUUUAUAAGGUCCGGCUAACUACGUG
rnacentral:rRNA from 1 species